GUUGAUACGCCAUUGUUGUUGAUGUCAUUGUGUUGAUGAUGACAUUGUUGUUGAUGAUGCCUUUGUUGUUGAUAUGUAAUUAUUUUUUAUUCAAUUGUUGUUGAUAUGUAAUUGUUGUUGAUUCCAUUGUGUUGAUGAUUCCAUUGUUGUUGAUGAUAUAUUUGUUGUUGAUGUUGCCAUUGUGUUGAUGAUGCCAUUAUUGUUUAUGUAUUUGUUGUUUUUAAUGUCAUUGGGUUGAUAAUGUCAUUUUUG
rnacentral:lncRNA from 1 species